UCAGCGUGGAGCAGCUCAGAGAACAUCACCCCCUGCUGGACAUGGUGGAGCACAACAGGAGACCGGCACUUCCUGUGGCUCCUCUGCAGACGCUGCCCGCCAUCGAAGCGAUCAUCCUGUUUGGAGAGCCAAUCAGAUGGGAGACCAACCUGCAGCUGC